UACGUAGGGGGCAAGCGUUGUCCGGAUUUAUUGGGCGUAAAGAGCGUGUAGGCGGCUUUACAGGUCCGUUGUGAAAACUCGAGGCUCAACCUCGAGACGCCGGUGGAAACCGUAAAGCUAGAGUCCGGAAGAGGAGAGUGGAAUUCCUGGUGUAGCGGUGAAAUGCGCAGAUAUCAGGAGGAACACCAAUGGCGAAGGCAGGUCACUGGGCCGCAACUGACGCUGAGGAGCGAAAGCAUGGGGGAGCGAACAGG
rnacentral:rRNA from 1 species